rnacentral:tRNA from 1 species
UCUGCAAUUACAAACGAACGACGCGGUUUUUAAAAACAAAAGCGGAGGUGCGGGAAAUCCUACAAGGUCACAGGGGCGCAGUUUCGAUCGUGUUGAAUGGCUUAGACAACGGCUUUUCAGAAGGAAGGGAUUAGAAACUGUUCGAUCUGAAGCGGUAUUCAGAGUGUUAAAGAAUUCUUAGAUGCCGCGAUCGUUAGAAAAGCCCGAUUUUCAAAGGGAAAGAAAAAACAGUGGAUUUUAUUUUUAGCAUGGAACCCCCAAAAACACAGGAACCCCUUGCCGUGCCAUUGUUGCCACAAUGCCGUGACUCGGAUUCGAACCGAGGUUGCUGCGGCCACAACGCAGAGUACUAACCACUAUACGAUCACGGCGAGCUACCAGGGACCUGUAAUAUUCCUCUUCUGAAUAUUCUCUUCAAUACUCAUAGGCCUUCCUACUUCCUGCGUCACUAAAUGACCCAUCUGUUGGGCGGGACUCCAACCUAGCAUAGCGUGUGAUGCGCAGGCGCAUUGCACUCUCGCAGCUAACUAGGCUUCACUUUGGUUCCUUAGUCUGGGGCAAAGUAGUCGCUUGCGAGAGGUGUUAGGGGUUGGCCGGAGACCUCCUGAGUACACGGGGACCCGAGGUGACUGUCUUGGGGAAGCCGGUUUCCGGUGCCUGGACCCUUGAAGUGGACUCUGUAGAGUUCUCGGGCCUGCAGGGGCGUUCCCCAUUGCGUCUCCUGGCUGCAGAUCCUCCGCCAUCCCUAGCAGCGACCCAUAGGGACCUUUGCGUAGAGUGCGGAUGCCCUCUGUACUGAGUUAGCUGUAUGGAGAGAACUCGAAUGCCUGUCAGCUUCGGCUUUCCGCCCCCACAACCUCUCUCUCUAGCAGCCUCUCCCUCUCUUGGAUGGCUAAAUCCUCCCUCCAAGAUACUCCCGCUCGGCUUUGCGCCCACUUCUGACCCCACUGGGUGGCUAUUGAGACUCGGUCCGGUUUCCUUCUUGUCCCUCAGCGCUCCCGCCCACAUGGCGUCUAGCCUGUGACAGCUUCCAUAGAGGGGCAGUGAUAUUUCCUAAACCAAGAGUGUGCCAGUGGUUUCCGACAAGUGAAUUCAAAGUGGCCAGUACCCUCUUCCGCAGAACCACCGGAGAAAUCGCUAAACACCAACUAAAAUUUUCCCCCAUUUCACAGCCCAGACUGCAGGGCAUCCUCCUUCUUUUCCUGCUCACGUGGCUUAGAGUGUCGUUUCCUGCCCCCAACGACGGGCGCCCAUUCACUCAACAGGUUCUAGAGGAACGCUAGUUGUCAGCCAAGUCAGGCCCUAGAGCUGUGGGAGCGGGCAGGUCUUAAAAAUGACCCUGGGAGAACACUUAGAAGAGGAAUCGCGACAGUGCCUUUUCAUGACUGUGUUCAGCCUUUUGUACAUUAAAUUGCUGUUUGACAGAUUCCCAUUCUACUCAUAAAAGCUCCCUCUGCGGAGCCUCUUCGUUCCAUCACUUCGGCGUCUACUCCAGUGCUUUGAUGGAAAUCUGUGACGUCAAAGAUAUAUAGGAGACUAAGAAAAACACCAUAUUUUUAUGGAAACAGUCACAUAUGUUCGCUGCACUUUUCUGGCUGAUGCAAUUCCCUGUAUUGGGAUGCGAAUACCAUCCCCAUAACAAACUGGAAGCCUCUGAGCUCCCGCAGUCUAAUUUGGCCUACGCUGGUAUAAACCCUGUUCACAAUUGUCACUUGUUUGAGGUCCAUUUUUCUGGAAUGUUAGCUGUGUAUUAAAAUGGAAUAGAGGAACAAAACAGGUCCCUUGCCGUGCCAUUGUUGCCACAAUGCCGUGACUCGGAUUCGAACCGAGGUUGCUGCGGCCACAACGCAGAGUACUAACCACUAUACGAUCACGGCGAGCUACCGGGAACCUAAGGUCAGGACUUCUUACUUGAUCUCUUCUGUAUUGGAUGCCCCUCCCCUUUGACGUCACUGGGUUGAUGGCAUUUGUUUCCGCCUAUCAUCAACGGCGGGACUUACGAGUGUGCGCAGGCGCUUUGUUUUCCCUGGCUAGACCCGCGCGCAGGCGGAAAGCCCUACGCUCCGCAGCAGUGACAACAGCGGUAGACUGGGUCUCUUUUUUCCCCCUUUCAUUUCUCUUCUUUCUUUCUUUCUUCUUUCUUUUUUUUUCUUUUUGAGUCGGGGUCUCAUUCGGGCAGGCUGGCCUCUAACGUCCUGCGUUUUAGGUUCCCAGGCGCCACUACGUUGGGCUUGCCAGGCAGUUUCAUGACCGUCUUUUUUGAGGUGCGUUCCCAAGCCAAGCGGAAACUCGAGAAGAUUGGCCCAUUGUUAAGAUCUUUCUGCCCUCAGAAGAAAGAGGGCUCAAGGAGUUCCUGUGGGACUUGAUUCCUGUCCCAAGACCUGAGACUUUUUCCUGAGUCCGGAAGAUAGCAGGGAGUGGUUUCCAGACAUUAUUCUAGAAGGGAACAAUUGGAAGAAACUUUCUGUCACAGCGUAAGAAAAAGGUUGCAAGAUGACAUGACACUACCAUUGCAUUAAGGGGAGGCCUCAAAGUCUUCUGUCCUUCUCAUCAUUCAUUAUCUGGAAAGCAGUUGCCUAAGUUCCUGGGGUAGAGCAUCCAAGGAGGCACCCAGAGGCUCCAGUGAUGGACUUGUGGCUGGUUAACCUGUGUGUUUUUCCUCUUACUGGGGCUGUCUGUUUAACAAAUGAUGGGCAGCUUCAUGGAAGGGGCUGUGACUUCUCUGGAGUUUAAGCAGGGGCAGGGAUGAAGUCAUGUGUAUGUGACUGGGCAGUAUCCCAGGACCACUCUCAGGGGGCCAUGUGCUUGGUUGAAUGCUCUCUUAAUUCUGUCUUAGAAUACUCUCUAUAUUCAGACACGAUGCCCUGUUUUUAUUGUAUAUACUUGGAUUUGUAGACUAUGUAACUACUCCUGGAGAGGAACUCGUCUUUUGUGGAAAUGAAUCUUAGCAUAUAAGAAUAAUAAGAAACAAACACCAAGGGGCUGGAGAGAUGGGUCAGCAGUUAAGAGCAUUUACUCUUCCAGAAGACCUGAGUGCAGUUUUCAGUGUCCACACUGGGAGUCUCACAACUGCCUGUAACUUUAGCUCUAGGGCAUCCAGUGACAAUUUCUGCUCUUCAAGAAUACAUGGGUGCAUGUAUAUCCUGACAUCUAUCCAUCCAUCCAUCCACCCACCCAAUUAUCCACUCAUACAUCCACCCAAUCACACACACACACACAAAAAAAAAAAUCCAAAAUCCCCCAACCAAACAACAAAAAGAAAAGAAAUAAGAACAACAAACCCUGGAGUGGAUAUACAGGUACUUUGCAUCAUUCUGAGACGUAGGUCUGUUAAAUGUGGGUUUGAGUUCCUAAGUAGCUUUGAAUUUAAACUGAAGUGAAAGCAGUCCACACUGAACACCGUGCUUAUUUCUUACAUGGACUAACUCAGUUAGACUCACAGAGAGUAUAAAAUGAACACAACAGUCUCCUUUCUUCUCUUUUCAGUCCUCUCACCUCCCCUAACCUUUUCACCUGUCUUUCCCUCCCUUCCUCUCCUCUU